UACGGAGGGUGCAAGCGUUAUCCGGAUUCACUGGUUUAAAGGGUGCGUAGGCGGGCAGGUAAGUCCGUGGUGAAAUCUCUGAGCUUAACUCAGAAACUGCCAUGGAUACUAUUUGUCUUGAAUAUUGUGGAGGUAAGCGGAAUAUGUCAUGUAGCGGUGAAAUGCUUAGAUAUGACAUAGAACACCAAUUGCGAAGGCAGCUUACUACACAGUAAUUGACGCUGAGGCACGAAAGCGUGGGGAUCAAACAGG
rnacentral:rRNA from 1 species